rnacentral:rRNA from 1 species
UACGAGGGGGGCAAGCGUUGUUCGGAUUUAUUGGGCGUAAAGGGUGCGUAGGCGGUUUGGCAAGUCUUGUGUGAAAUCUUCGGGCUCAACCCGAAGUCUGCACAAGAAACUGCCGGGCUUGAGUAUGGGAGAGGUGAGUGGAAUUUCCGGUGUAGCGGUGAAAUGCGUAGAUAUCUGCAGGAACACCCGUGGCGAAAGCGGCGCGCUGGACCACUACUGACGCUGAGGAACGAAAGCUAGGGGAGCAAACAG